GAUCAUGUGAGUUAUUAACUUUGAAAACCAUACUUUAUAUAAUAAGAUAUAGUUUUAGGAAUUGAAAUAUCAUCAUUCUUCUAAGAACCCUAUAAAUACCCACUAAACACUUGAAGAAAACUAAAUACAGUACUAAUUCACCUUUUGUAGGAGCUAUUCCACUCGACAAACAAAUGACUCCAAGAACCUCUCUUACACUCUUGAUCCUUGCUCUCAACCUCCUCUUCUUCACUUACACAUCUGCCGCAUUAUUGCCACCGAUCCCGGGCAUCACGGUCCUCCCGGGCAUCACGGUCAUCCCGGGCAUCACCGUCCCGGGCAUCACGGUCCCGGGCAUCCCGGCCACGCCAAACACCCCAGCCACGCCAAACACCCCGACCAAGCCAAACACCCCGACCAAGCCAAACACCCCGACCAAGCCAACGAUCCCGACCACGCCAGCCACCCCAGCCACCCCAGCAACGCCAGCCACCCCUGCCACUCCAGCCACCCCAGCAACGCCAAACACCCCAACGUCUCCGACACUCCGCACACCUCCAGGCACAGGUUCUUUAUCCUAGAGAUGCUCUAAAGAACGGUGUUUAAGCUAUUGGACCUAAGAUUGGAAUCUCACCUGAGCCAUGUUGCUCAUCUAAGGCUUUUUGUUGUUUAUAUUUGGUUUUUAUGUGUGCAACUUAUGCAUUUGCUGAGUAUCUUGAAUUUCUAAAGUUUGUUUGUUUUAAGAAAAUAUGUCGCACAUAAUUUAGACAGCAUAUAAAAUAUUUUCUAACUUUUAUCAUUUUUCAAAUACACAGGUUUACUUUUUCUCUACGUAAUUAGACUUUAUUUUAUGAGGAUAAACUAUGACUUUUUGUUAAAGUUUUGCAUUGAAACAACACUUUUUUUUUGAAAAGAAAACAAAGAUCUAAAACAACACUUAAUUUUAAAAGAAAUAAUGUAUUUUGUAAAGGAUUUUUUUUUUUUUUGUAUAUAAAAAAUUAAUAUUUCAUCCCAACCGGAUUUUAGGCCAUGGACUUGGGAAAUGGGGUUUACAUCUAAUUUACAAUUUCAAAAAAAGAAGGAAACCGAUGACUCGAAAUUGGACAUUGAUGGUGUUCGGAAACAAGGAAACACAUCCACUACUACCGGCGAUUACAAGAAACACUGCUUUGCGGCUACAUCAACGAUAUCGAAUCCAGGUAAUAAGUUCAUGUCGCAAAGCCGAUCCGGACGACAAGCCUCAACCCGCAACAUUUAUCCCGAAAUAGAUCGGUUCUCAGAAAAUCUGAGACCUAAUCUAUCUAAUCCCCUACCUAGCAAAAAGGGAGAACUCAGAUCGAUCUAACACUUAGCCUCCGGUACCAACAAGCAUCAGACAUAAAAAAAGGGACCUUUCAGCUUCAUAUGUCAAGGUUCCAGAUCGCUAUGUUGACGCUAUCUUCUAACCACCACGUUAUAUAUCCUUCUUGUUGCACUUGCACCACAAAACCUCUAUAUUUCAUUUUCAGAUCUCUUUUUCUAUGUAUACGUAAACAUAUCUAUAUAGUAUAUAUACGUUAUUGGAAUUCUUUGCUAAGAACUUGAAAUGAAGCAAACAGUCUUAUUAGGUAACACAAAAAAAAAAGAAGUUUUUUUCAGAUUUCUCAAUGUUCUUUUACCAAAAUAUGUUAUUGUUCUUUUUUUCCGCCAAAUAUGGUAUUGUUCAUAUUCAAGGUCCGUGAGCUUUGCUUCAGAGUAGUAGGCUUUGGAUACUUUUGAUAAAACCCCAUAUUGUAUGUCAAGGCCCAUUAAGAUGCGGAUCCAAGCCUUGACGUUUAAACAAAUAUAAGUCUUCUCGUAGGUAACAUCAAAGGCCUAUUAGCUCAGUUGGUUAGAGCGUCGUGCUAAUAACGCAAAGGUCACAGGUUCGAUCCCUGUAUAGGCCAUUACUUUUUAUAUUUUUAGUCAUCGUCGUUCCAACUUCCCCAACCAUCAUCAAUAUUUGAUUUUCAUUCCACUCAGGUGGUCACUUCACCAGUAGAGUUUUUGUGUGAAUUGAUAACAAAAAUGUUUGUAAGCUUAAAUUUUUCCUGUGCAUAGUAAAACAAAAAAACCAAGCACUGUAAUCUCUUCUUGGAGAUUUUUUUAGCCACCAACACUGUUCAUUCGUCUAACUUAACUUUUUUUUUUUUUUUUGAUAAACCCUAUCGGCUGAUCCGGUCGGCCUCGGUAGGAACACACCGAGGUGCUACAGAGUGGACUUCUUCCGAUCCAGGUAGAAUUGGGUCACCACACUGGCUGAUCCGAGUUUGGAAUGCCUUCCGACUAAUGCCAGGGGUAGUCAGGCCGCCUGCAUUUCUGACUACCAGGUAAACCAAUUGGGCCAAGGUCCAACUGAGUAACUGACAGACUUCCCAAACAAAUGUGUUUUUGUUUCCAGGGAGAAUCGAACUCGGGUCUGGGAGUUUCACCCAAAUUCACUUCCACACAAUACAAAUUUGUAACAAAGGUUAAUGAAUUCUUGUGAUUUAUCAACAAACAAAAAUAACCAAAAUGUGACAUAUGAGAGACUAAGUUGUUGUAGACUAAUGGUUAUCACUUAAAAUGUAAAAAAAUUUCGUAGGUCUAGAUCAAGAAUCGAUUACUCUCAAAUAUUUUAAGAAAAAUCUGCACUUUGUAGUACAUUGGUUACCCUUAGAUAUUUUAAAUAUUUUUAAAAGCUAUGAUUUUUAUGGGUUCUGGAAAUUAAUUUUGAUUUUAAUUUAGUAUUUCUCUGUUUGAAAAAGAAAAGCAACUAAAUAAAAUAGAAAACAUGUAGAAAAAAUCAUGAUAUUUUUGCCUGUCCAAUUGUGAAAGUAGAUGGUUGGAUCUUUGUGUUUGGCAAAAUGGCAAUAGAAACGUAGAUCUAUAUUAUGACAAAACAAAAAAAAAAUCGAAGAGGCAAAAGCGCCAAUCUGUUAACUGAUUCAAAGCCACUCCUUCCAUAUCUUUGUUCAUAAACAAACGCUUAUCUUCUUAUCAUCUUCAAAAGUUUUCUCUUUUGCCUCUCAACAUUACAUGCCCUACAACAUAAAUGCGAGGACGUCGGUUAUAAACGGACACUAACAAAAUUAUGUCGUUUAUUCAACCGACUUGCUAAGGGCCAACGUAAGUUAUAUAGCCUGGAUUACGGAUUACCUACCAUGAAAUAUCUCAAUAAUAAGUCUUAUUCUAUGUUCCAUAAUCAUAAGAUUAUAAUUUCAUUCAAAUAUACUUCUUUGAAAUAAUACUGAUAUUUAAUAAAUAGUAUUGGGUUUCUUCAAAUUAUGCAUGCUUCGGAUAUUUGAUUAACUUUGUUUCACGAACUCUAAAGCCCUAAAUUAAUAUGAAUAAUUUUAAAAAUAAGUUUAUCAAAGAUAUAGCUUUAUUGCUGGCAACAAAAAAGGUAUAGCUAUAUUGCAAGAUCUUAUACUAUUAUUUGGGGAGUACACUUUAUAAGAUACCCUUAACUAACCUUUCCUUUUGUAAGAAUUUACUUAAGAAUGCCAUUACAAAAAUCUUCUUUUAGAACAAAUUUCAUUCAAUUUAUUAAGAAUAAACAAGUAAAGUACUAGUUUAUGUCAUUUAAUUAAUUUGACUAAAUUAUAAAACGAAAAUUUGUUAUUAUUUUUUUUAAAUGACCAAUCAAAAUGAACAUAUAAGAUUUGAUAUCUAACUUAUCAUAUUAAUUUGUUAUUAAUCAUUAAACUUCACCUCUCAUCUUAAUAUGAUUAUAUUAAUAUGAAAAAAACUAAAUCAUCAUAUCAUCUACAUAAUAAAAAAAAAGUAAUUUUUUUUUCUGCAUAUGCCAAGAUUUGAAUUUUUAAAAACGCAUAUAAAUUGUUCAAUCUAUAAAGGAAACAAUUAAACGGGUCAAAAAUUCAGACUUGAGUAGUAUAUUUCUUUUACACAAAAAUAAAGUCAACAAAAAUUCCGACUGAGCAACAGGUCAGAAUUUGAAUAUUUAGAUUCGAUUUCAUACAUUUAUUUUUUUGAAAUGCAUAAUUUUAUAUACUACAAUAAAAAUUUAAAUAUUUUAAUUUGCAACAAUUAAAAUAAGUUUUACUUGAUAUUUUUAGAGAAUAUCAUCAAUACUUAAUAGUUCAAAAAGUUAAAAAUUAUAAAUACUCUAAUUUGAUUAUUUUUAAAAAUAUUUAUAAUAGUUAGCGGGUUAAAUAUAAUAUAUUAUACGAUGAAAUGAGUUUUGAUCCAUAUAACUAUUUGAAUAGUUAUAUUUAAUUUCAUACAAUUUGUUUUUUGAAAUUCAUAAUUUUAUAAACUACAAAAAAAAUUUAAAGGUUUUAAUUUGGAAUAUUUAAAAAUAGUGUAGAACAUUUAAAUAUGGUUUGACACCUCUAAAUAUUUGAAAAUUUGAUUCUGCAAGCAAUUUUAGAAUUAACGAAUAAUAGAUUGUGCACGCAAUAUUUUAAAAUGAAAUAUUGAGAUUCUAAAAUAAAAAUAUAGACUCCACGCACGGGUUGAUUUUUGUAUUAUUAUAUACUAAAUAUAUGUUUUUAACAUAUUUGAUUAUGCGAAUAAUUGGUAAAUUCCGUAAUUAUAAAUCUCAAACAAAUUCUGUAAUUAGAUUAGCUCAAACAAAUCUCUAUUUCAACAACCAAAGAAUCAUAAAUUGAAAAAGAAUUUUCUAAAUUAAUUCAAAAUAAUUGCUAAUUUUCUUAAUUAAUUCAAAAUAAUCUAUGUUUUAUAUGGGAUUCAUUUAUGAUAUUUUAAUUUUUGAUCUAACUGAAAUAUAUGCAAUCCUAUUUUGUGGUUGUUAACAUAAAUUAACUCAUUGUUCAAAAAAUAUUACUUUUCAAGAAAUAAAAUUAUUUUCUGUUUUCAUAUCUUAAAAAAAUUUAUCUAUAAUUGAGUAUUAUAAAAAAAGUUCUAUAUUUAUUCUAAUAUUGUAUACAGGGACUGACAAAAAAAUUAAUAUUUUUUCACUUACUAUUAUAAUAUAUUAAAACUUAGUUCUAAUAUAUGUAUUAUAUAAAUUUUGUAAUAAAUAAAAUUCAACCCGUACUUUAGUACGGAUGAUGAUCUAGUUAAAUAUAUAUAAGGAUAUCUCUAUAUUAUAUUCGUUAAUUGUGAUUUGUCUGGUUUAGUUUUCAACGAACAAAUAGUUAAAUAAUACUUUCUUUGUUUCUAAAUAUAAAAUUUUAGAGUUUUUAUUCUGUUUUAAAAUAUAAAAUUUAUUCACGUUUCUAUGCAUAUAUUUAUUUUCAUACUGUUAAAAGUAUCUAGUCAAAAAAAGCCAAAGAUCAAUCACAACUCGUAUUGAUGGCUUCCGAAAUUUUAAUGUGACUAUUAGUAUUCUUUCUCUACGAAUGAUUUUUGUUUAUCAAAUGAUGUUUUUGUUUAAGAAAUAAUUCUUUUUUAAUUUGUGUGUUUUAACCAAAAUAUCAUAUAUUUUAUUUUGAUAUUCAUCGUAACUUUCCAAAUUCAUAUCUCAAUGAAAAAUUAAAAGUUUUUAAAUACGGAAAACACAACUUACAAUCUAUGAAAGUUAUUUUAUCGACAAUCGUAGUACAUAUUAUAUAUAGUUUUAGGAAUUGAAAUAUCAUCAUUCUUCUAAUGAGAACCCUAUAAAUACCCACUAAACACUUGAAGAAAACUAAAUACAGUACUAAUUCACCUAUUGUUGGAGCUAUUCCACUCGACAAACAAAUGACUCCAAGAACCUCUCUUACACUCUUCCUUGCUCUCAACCUCCUCUUCUUCACUUACACAUCUGCCGCAUUAUUGCCACCGAUCCCGGGCAUCUCGGGCAUCCCGGGCAUCCCGGACAUCCCGGGCAUCCCGAACAUCCCGGGCAUCCCGGACAUCCCUGGCAUCCCGGACAUCCCGGGCAUCCCAGCCACGCCAAACACCCCAGCCAACCCAGCCACGCCAAACACCCCAGCCAACCCAGCCACGCCAAACACCCCAGCCAACCCAGCCACGCCAAACACCCCAGCCAACCCAGCCACGCCAAACACCCCAGCCAACCCAGCCACACCAAACACCCCAGCCAACCCAGCCACACCAAAAACCCCGGCCACGCCAAACACCCCGACCACGCCAACGACCCCUGCCACUCCAGCCACCCCAGCAACGCCAAACACACCAGCAACACCGACCACCCCAACGUCUCCGACACCCCGCACACCUCCAGGCACAGGUUCUUUAUCCUAGAGAUGCUCUAAAGAACGGUGUUUAAACUAGUGGACCUAGAUUGGAAUCUCACCUAAGCCAUGUUGCUCAUCUAAGGCUUGUUGACCUUGAGUCUUCAUUAUUCCUCUAUCUCUUCUUUGUAAUUGUGUCUUUUCAAUUUGAAUAAUAAAAUUAUAUCAACCGACCCAUGUUAUUGUUUAUAUUUGGUUAAUAUGUGUGCAACUUAUGCAUUUGCUGAGUAUCUUGAAUUUCCAAAGUUUGUUUUGUUUUAAGAAAUUAUGUCGCACAUAAUUUAGACAACAUUAAAAUAUUUUCUAUCUUUUAUCAUUUUUCAAAGACACUGUGUUAACUUUUUCUAUAGCAGUGCGAGUAGUUGAGCCACGAUAAAUCUCCAACACGAUACCACUGGCGUCCUCGCCACGAGGUAAAACGUCGGGAGGCUUCUCUAGAUAGUCUAGACUGCCGAGAUGUUUGGGUUAAAUGCAUCAUGAAGCGGAUAAUCCACGCCUCAUCACUGCCGGAGAAGAAAGCCUUCUCACCAACGCUUCACCAAAAAAAUCCACACCUUCAAUGAGGAUCUAAAAGCAACAAAAAAAACCCGGAAGUAAAUCUUUUUUUUUCCAAAGAUCCAAAGAGAGAAAAGAGAGAAGCGAUAGAACGAUUGUCCU
rnacentral:lncRNA from 1 species